GUGGGAAUCUUGCACAAUGGGCGAAAGCCUGAUGCAGCCAUGCCGCGUGUGUGAAGAAGGCCUUAGGGUUGUAAAGCACUUUCAGUGGCGAAGAAAAGGUCGGUGCCAAUACCGCCGGCCCUUGACGUUAACCACAGAAGAAGCACCGGCCAACUCCGUGCCAGCAGCCGCGGUAAUACGGAGGGUGCGAACGUUAAUCGGAAUUACUGGGCGUAAAGCGCGCGUAGGCGGUCUGUUAAGUGGGAUGUGAAAGCCCUGGGCUCAACCUGGGAACUGCAUUUCAAACUGGCAGACUAGAGUUCAGUAGAGGGAGGUGGAAUUUCCUGUGUAGCGGUGAAAUGCGUAGAUAUAGGGAGGAACACCAGUGGCGAAGGCGGCCUCCUGGACUGAAACUGACGCUCAAACGCGAAAGCGUGGGGAGCAAACAGG
rnacentral:rRNA from 1 species